rnacentral:lncRNA from 1 species
CCAAUUUCUUUCUGCAAGAAAAAGCCUAUUCCUGCCACUCUCCUACCUAAGAAGAGUUUGGGUGUCUGAGCUGGGCUUGGUGGCAGAAUCCCAGAUGCUUCACCUGGGCCAAACACAGCACAAGGAGGCAAGGCUUAGAAGGAAUGCAGCCCCAAGCAUUGAAGAGACCUUCCCAAAGACACAUGGAUAUGAAGCACUUAUGAAAAGAGGACUGAGAUGGAACUGCAGGGCAGGCUUUCUCAGCCUGGGCACUAUUCACAUUUAAGCUAAAUCAUUAUCUGUUGGGGAAGCUGACCUGGGCGUUGUAGGAUAUUUAACAGCAUUCAUCUUUUGUCUGUCUGUAUUAAAUUUCAGUAGCACCUGUCUCCCAAGUUGUGACAACCCAAAAAAGUGUUCAGAUGUUAUCACAUACCCCCUGGGAAACAAAAUUAGCCCCCUCCCCACCCUGAGAAAGCCUGCUCUAGGGGAUGGCAACUUGAGAGAUCAGCCGAAAGGGGCUCUGGGGCGUAGAGUGUGGAGGUAUUCCCUGAGCUAAUAAAGUGAAACCUCACUGGAUUUUUUUUUUUUAUUGUGUUUCAGAUCUCGGUGAUGAAGGGAAGACAGCUCUUAAAUAACCAAUGGCAUACCAGGAAUAUGCUUGUUGCUUCCUAUGUUAAUG